UUUUUUUAAAUUUCAGAAAGCAAUUCGCCGCUGGGACAUUGAAAGAGCCGUUCGCGAUGCAAAACAAUACGCCGCUAGUAGAGAUCGAAUUUACUAAACGCAAGAAAGCGGGGCGAACCGACAUGACCAGGAACUUGAAUCCAAACGACAAGAUGGCGUCGAAGCGACGUGACUUGGGAGAAUGUCCCG